CUGGCGGCAUGCUUAACACAUUGCAAGUUCGAACGGUAACAGCAGGAGCUUGCUUCUGGCUGACGAGUGGCGGACGGGUGAGUAACGCGUGGGAACAUGCCUAUCAGUUGGGGACAACCUGUGGAAACGCAGGCUAAUACCGAAUACGUUCUACGGAAUAAAGGUGGCCUCUGGUUGUAAGCUAUCGCUGAUAGAUUGGCCCGCGUUGGAUUAGCUAGUUGGUGGGGUAAAGGUCUACCAAGGCGACGAUCCAUAGCUGGUUUGAGAGGAUGAUCAGCCACACUGGGACUGAGACACGGCCCAGACUCCUACGGGAGGCAGCAGUGGGGAAUAUUGGACAAUGGGCGCAAGCCUGAUCCAGCAAUGCCGCGUGUGUGAAGAAGGCCUGAGGGUUGUAAAGCACUUUCAAUAGUGAAGAAGGGUGUGUGCUUAAUACGCACAUGCAUUGACGUUAACUAUAGAAGAAGCACCGGCUAACUCUGUGCCAGCAGCCGCGGUAAUACAGAGGGUGCAAGCGUUAAUCGGAAUUACUGGGCGUAAAGCGCGCGUAGGUGGUUUGAUAAGUUGGAUGUGAAAUUCCCGGGCUUAACCUGGGUCGGUCAUUCAAAACUGUCAGACUAGAGUAUGGUAGAGGGUAGUAGAAUUUCUAGUGUAGCGGUGAAAUGCGUAGAUAUUAGAAGGAAUACCAGUGGCGAAGGCG
rnacentral:rRNA from 1 species